UACGGGGGAUGCAAGCGUUAUCCGGAUUUAUUGGGUUUAAAGGGUGCGUAGGCUGUGAGGUAAGUCAGCGGUGAAAUGCCCCCGCUCGACGGGGUGAAGUGCCAUUGAUACUGCCUUGCUGGAAUGCGGAUGCCGUGGGAGGAAUGUGUGGUGUAGCGGUGAAAUGCAUAGGUAUCACACAGAACACCGAUUGCGAAGGCAUCUCACGAGUCCGCUAUUGACGCUGAUGCACGAAAGCGUGGGUAUCAAACAGG
rnacentral:rRNA from 1 species